CAAGCCAAGUGAGCUGCUCUGGAGAUCUGAUCCCAUGAAAGCCUAGGCAGGAAUAAAUAGCUCUGUUUUCAAAGCAGGCUGAGGAGUGUACAGUAAAUACGGGCUGGGCACACAGCAUGGUGUAAACAAACAGCUCAUCUUCUGCACAGCAGAGGGGGAAAACCGUGGGCAAUCCUGUGGCUGGAGAUGGUAUCAGAGUAAUUUGGCGCCGGGAGACAAAUUACAGUUGACAUGGCACUGCGUAUCGCCCAGACAUUGCAGCUCCCUCUGACCUAGAAGGAGAGGCACGUCAGAUUACUUCAUGCAACAAGACCUGACCAGGCACAUUUCCGCAACGUUCUCUGCAGCAGAUGAUCUCAGGAGCCUGGCAUUUUACCUGUCCUCAACUCCCUCCUUUGGUGCAGAUCAUUGGAACACAGAAGCUUCACUGACUGCAUCUUGGUCAGCAACUGAUUUGCUCUGAUAGGUACCAGAGCACCUUGGAAUAUCAAUUUCACAUGAGUAAACUGAUCUGAAGACUAUUAAAAGAUUGGCUGGCAUUUGGGCAAACAAGACAGAUAUUUUUUCCUCGUGUGAGUCAUCUUUUUAUUUGACCAGUCAGACGACUUUGGGAUAGCAGGCAAAAUAUUUCUGAAGAACGCAUUUGUUUUAAUCAAAAGAGCAUCGCUGUUGAUUACACCUGUUUUCAAAAUGCUGAGUUUUCCAGUUAGGAGCAAGCACAGUGAUGUAAUUAUUUUACAGCUUAACUAUGAAUUGCAAGCGACAAGAAGCAAGGGAUUUCUAAACAUCAGAUGAAACAAGAAGCUAGUGUCUGAAUCAUCAGUAGAACGCUUGCAAACAAUGAAUCAAUGGAGGAAAGAUAGAGGCCAUGGUGUAUACUCAAAGGGGAAGAAAUUCAUCAAUAAAAUAGCACGAACAACUGUUACUGUAAACAACAUUUUAAGCUUGAGCUCUGUCAGAGAAGGCUUCUCAGAUAAAUAUUUUAAAGCAAUUGGUGAUGUUACUCAAAGAGGGUCCCAGUCCUACAAAGACCUGAGCAAUUAUCAGCAUUUUUUGAGAGCAUAACCUCAUUUCCAGGGCACGGCUGAGAACAGACAGGCAAGUUUGUUUUGUUUUCCAUUCAGUUUUCAUCUUGUUGUUGUAAAUGGCAUGCUGUUGUUUCAGCUUUCAGCAUUAUGGUUAAGCUGCUUAUACAUACAGCAUGACUGCAACGUCACUCAUGGAAAUCAUGGUGGGCUUAUUUACAAGAUUGCUCUUGUGUAACUGAGUGGUGAAUUCUCCUUCAACCCGAGUGUUCUUGCCUAGCAUUCCACCUUGUUUUUAAUAACUUAUAAUAUGCAUGCUAAUACUUUUAAGAGCCCAUUUGCAGUGGGCUUUUAAUUUACAGCUUGAAUGUUAUUGUUCACUUGCUUCUUUCCAAUAACAAAGCACUACUGCUGUUUCCGAUGUUGUCAGAGGAUCUGAACGUUCCCUGGGUGUGCUACGUGAAGCUCACACAGUGACAGCACCUUCCUUGGGGCUGGGGUGGGACAGCCCUGCCCUGUCCCGCUCAGCACAUCCCUGCUGCUGGGCACUGGGCAUCCUCUGCACAAAGCCUGUGGGGCCCUGAAGGAGGGUCCUUGUCUGAAGCAAAGGAAAAGAGGUUGGUUCCAAACCCCCCUCUCUCCAACAUUCCCAUUUCUUAACUUUUGCCUCCUCCUUUCCCUUUUCCACAGUUAAAACAACCUCACAGACUUCAUGGAAAGCAAUCCACCUCCUCCCCCCAGGUUCUAGCUGUGAUGCUUGUUUCUUCGAUUGCUCACACAGCAGCAUGGCUUUCAUAAGGCAAAGCAUAGCAUGUGCCUGGCAUACACUAGCAAAUUACAAACCAGGAGAUUAACACAGAAGUCAUUGGAUUCCUUUUUCAAAAAGCGAUGUAUUGGGUACAGAUUUGCUGUGAGGUUUUGUGUCUUUACAUUCCCAAGGUUCUAUUUAAUGGUGAAGGUUGGGGAUUAGCUUUAAAAUAAAUAAUGAGAGAACACAGAACAGAAACAAAACCUAAGGAGAACAGUUUCUUCCUCAGACGCGUGACUUCUGGAAUGUGAGUUAAAAUCAAAGCAUAAAACAAACAUAAAGCUUUAGAAGCCCCGAGAAGCAGAACCACAGAAAAGACAGAUCUUCGCGUGGCUCUUAUUGUGCCACAUGAGUAAAUAAACGAUGAGGUCAAACAGCAAAUAAUGGCUGUGAUAUAUGAUCUACACUGUAAAAAGCUCUGUGUUCGGUCUGGAUUUAUAAACAAACUGAACAGUUCUCCGAAAAAUCAUAUUUCAUAUACUUGUACUUUAAAAGCUCUUUUACUCUGUGGCACUGCGUGAAAUAAAUAAGAAUCUAACUCUGCAUUUACAUGCAGUGAAUGUGCACAGUGAUGUUUUGAAAAGGACGAGAGUUAAUAAUGCAUGAAGGGUGCUACAGAGGGAGGUGAGGCAUUGGGCUGGCUGCUGAAAACUUCUGAGGUGCAAAGGGAGCCACGUGGGACCAACAGCGGGUUUUCUUGGGAGCUUUUCUGGGUGUUGUCAGUAAAGGUGUGGUUCACCUUAUUUUAUUCUUAGUUGAAAAUACAAAAGCCGGGAGAGGUUUUCCGGAAGAAACAAAAGAAGAGUUUCAAAUGAAAGAUUUGCUGAAAGGAGAAAAAAUAUUCUAAGUGGCAUUUUGCAUUAAAAUAUGUUGUAAUAAAAUAGUUUUACAAAAUAAACUGCUGCGAAGUUGUUAAGAUAAGCUUUCUGACCCUCUCUGUGGACACCAUAGCAGACAACCCACACCCCAGCAUCUUCCUUUUCCCACUUAUCCCACACAGCUGUUAUCUUCAGUCGCGCUGCUCAGGCAGGGCUCACCCCGUGUCCCUGCAGCUCCCAGCCCCGCAGCUCUGCUAGCUCCCUGGCCAAGGCUUCCAGCCCUGGUUCAGCCAGAUCCUAGGAGAAGAUGAACUGCUCUCUGAGAUGCUCCUUUCUCCCUCUAGCCAGUGAUGGAGAUGGAAUCACGCAUGCAGAAUCACAGAAUUAUAGGGGCUGGAAGGGACCUCUAGAGAUCAUCGAGUCUAACCCCCCUGCCAAAGGAAUGAUGUGCUCAAGCUGUGUGCGUGCAUCCUGAUGGCAAGAGUGGUGAAGGAAUCCCAGCCCUUUUCCCAGGAUCUCUCAUCACAUGUUUUUGCUGGGAUUACACAAUGCUGGACCAUUCGUCCCUAGAGGAAAACAGGGAACCAGAACAACCACGGAAAAAAUCUGAUCCCACUGGGAGCUCCCAAUGAAAAGCAUUUGAACUGAGCUCUGAAAAUGACGUGGAAAGACUCAUUAGAGUCUGGUGUUACUUAACUCAAGUUUAUAAAGCAGUGUGAAGGUGAAGGGGUUUGUGUCCUUCGGAGAGGAGAGCUUCUAUGGAAAACGUUCAUUACCCCUUGCCACUUGGCAUCAGAUCAAAUCUGACGUGAACCACUGCAUCAAUAAAUGCUCUGAAACUAAAGGGGGGUGCUACUGGCAGUAAGAGAAAAGAACAGGAGACCAGCUGAAUUCUGUCCUGGUACAUCUAAUAGAAAGGGAGCAGCGACCCAACAUUAACAAAGAUGCAGUGAACAUCAGAGUUCUCCCGCAGAGGCUGGAACCUGCAUGGGAGCCCAAUUGCAGGGUCAGGUAUGCUGGCUGCCCUUCUCCACCCCUAACCUGUUUGUGGACAAAUCGUUAAACUCCACGUCCCAAAUGACCUCAGUAUUUCAGCCUGACCCUCAACUCCCUCUUUACUGAAGCGCUAACGAUAAACGAUAUUGUGGAGUGAGUCUUUAUCUUAGCUGAUAUACUGUGUUCAUAAAGGCUGAUGUAACAAGGGUCAGAAAUGUCUUGUGAUAAAUCUCUUCCAUCCUCUCUAACCCCCACGUGAAAUCAACCUUCAUGUAUCCUAGCUUUUAUACUGCUGGGCAAGGAGACAGCGGCUUGGCACGAGCGUGUGCAAAUCCCUCAGGUGCUGGGAAUGAGAAGCAAAGAUUCAUUACAGUAAUAAAGUUCCAGCCUUCCAGGGAUGAGGUCAAACGAGAGCAGCAGAGGGCUGGCAAAUGGGGGCAGAAACUUCUGUACACGUGAGCGAUAAAUCAGCCUUCCGACAUGGGUUUGUUUCACUCUGCUGAGUAAAAAUAUCCUCACCGCAAAGCAAGAAAUGUCCAUUGAUCAGUGCCAUGGAGUGGUUUUCUACCUGAAUUUGCUUUGUUUUUUUUGCUCGUUUAUCUUUGAGCCUGACUGGCAAGUGACAGGUCAUGGCUAUUUCUGUGUGACUCACACCAACGGGAGAGCAGUACUUAGCAGUGGUGCAUUGAACAGUUUGGUAUUUGCUGAGAGCCGUUCACUGUCAUGGAAGAAAUCCAGCAUUUAGUGCAAGAGCUGCUCCCUGUUGGAAGCGGGAAUGGUGCACUCCAGCAUGCUACCCUCUUUUUUUCAAGUCAUUGAAAACACAUGUUCCUAUUAGUAUGAUUAUAUUACCACAUAUCUGUGUUAUGUUACGGAGUAGAAACUACUGAUCAAAAUGACAAAGCAAACUGAAAAGCACGAGGCCUACCGACCUUACGACACGGUGCCACAACAUUUCCAAGAAGUGGGAACCUCCUGGGUGUGUCGUGGGUGGCACCGCACAAAUCCGAGCCGCACUCGGGCACGGCUGCACUUCUCUGCAGCUGGCGAGGCCUUCAGCUCGGCUCUGUUCUCAUAACAUCCUGAACUCCCCACACAGAUCCCUGGUGAGGGCAAAGGCAGCAGGCAAAUUUUCCCAGCGCUGCUUUCACGAAUGUCCUUCCCCUCUGUGCAGCUCAGAGUUGUUACACGGAGGCACACUGGCUCCAGAUUUCUGCAAGUGCCAACUGCAAAUCCACGGUGAGGAGGAGGAGGGAAGAAAACCCUGUAAGCAAAUGUAAUACGUGCCAGCUGAUACGUACAUGAACUUUUCUAAGGAAAGGCAGGAAUACUGGUUCUCUAGCAGUCUAUCAGUUUGCUCUCCUCUUAUUUAUGUACCCUUUAGCCUGGCUAUAAAGUGUUUAACACAAGAAUUUAUUGCAGGGGACUGGUUAUUGAUUUGCAACCACGCACAUCUGGAAAACAUGAACCAAAUAAAUCGCCAUUCUUUGAACUAAUGAAAAUUUAAACUCAGUGCUAAAAAAUCAUUUUGGUCUAAAAUUAACUAACGUUUUGAAUGCUCAUCAUACGGGUUUGGUUUUCAUUUAUCCUCUUAGAGGAUACAAUAAAACCUCUUAGAGAAGGUUCAGUGAAGCUUGUGGGGAAGUCUGAACGCUGUUAAGCCACACGAGGGCCUUACAGAGAUGAACUACACCGUCCUGAAGUAUUCUAGGGAAGGAUUACGUGAUGGCUGUUCCCAGGGUCAGUGGGAUUCACGCUGCGGUCUCCCAUGAGACCUCCCCGAUGCUUUCUGUGAAUGAAACAAGCUAGCCCGUGAGCAAGCAAUUCAGCAAACUUUCUCUCUGGGAGGGAAUCCAGGUUCCCUCUGUGUCUCUUUUUGUUUCAUUCUUUCCCAUCUCUGCCAAAAAUGACGAGUUCAAGGACUAAGCCUGAAUUUCCUGCCAAUUCCUGUCCAACCAUUGCCGUUGACGUGCCGUCUCACUGAAUGGGGAGGUGUUAUCUGCCUCUGUCAACAAAUACCAUUCUCUUUGCAGUUCCCAGGGCAGGACCAAACUCUUCACCUGUAAGGUCAAAGUUACGUAAGCCUGGGAAAGCUAUUUAGUAAAUGAGUCCAACUCUGAUACAUGCAGGAAGAAGCAGUGCAGCCAGCUGAGCUCAAACUCAGUGCCUCCUUUCCCAUCACAGGAGCCACAUGAAGGCUUGGCACUUUCACUAGGAAUAUGAACCAACAUGAAAAAUGUUUGCUCAUCUGAACCCUUCGCAAAUGAAUCUCUUCACAAAUUACUCAUUAAUGACAGAUCUCAGCCCAGAUAUCUGUUUUACCUGUGCAGAAAGCACUUGCCUAAUCCAUCAAAAAAACAAAACAAAAAAAAACCAACCCAACAACCAACACCAAAAAACCACAAAGCAAAAGACCCACAAAAGGGGUCUUAAAAGCAAAGAAUGUACCUUUUGUUUUGAGAUCACUGUAUUCACACCAGAUUCCCAGUUUUGAUACUUUCUGCUUGAAGCGAACCCAUGGCUUUCGUUCCCUCCUUUCACCUGUAUUUGCUUCUUCCUUCAGCACUGAAAUAAGGUAUUAUACUUACAGCCAUUGUAAUGCCACUAAUAACACUGAUAAUAUCUUGCAUUGAUACAGUGCCUUUCCUCUGGGGCUCAUACUGUGCUUUAAGACAUCAGAUUUGGCAUUUCUUCCCCAGCUUCUGUGUGAAUGAAAUGAAUUGAGGUCUCUGCCCAAAGUGCUCCCCUCUUGUUGCACUGCUCCUCUUUGUGACAUUGCUCCUCUCUUUGUGGCACUGCUCCUUUUGCUGCCAUCUCUGUCUCAGCAGUUCAUUCAACACAAUGAGGCCUACCCAGAGCAAACUGAAUGGGCUAAACAAGCUGUCAUGUGUACCAGAAAUGUUACGGCUACUUCAGCUGGAAGCAGAGCACAAAUCCAAGCAUCACAGCAACAGAGUUGUGCUGCUCUCUAGGCUCAAGUUUUGAUAAACUUUAUGUGUGUCAUAAGCUGAGGUAGGAGCAGAGAAUGUUGGUGGCAUUGUUAGAGGAGAAUUACACUGCAGAAUGGAAUGAGAGUGGCAUAAACAGAAAAAUAUGGGGAGUUUGGAUGAAAGAGGAACAAAAUAGUUAAAUCAUGGCUCAUAUGUUUAUAUCUGUUAUCAGGGCAGAUAGAAAUGCACCUGCAUGGAAGAGAAAUAGUUUGCAAACAAGGCAGUGAUGUUCUAGUAACACUGUGAGCUUUGACACGUGGGUGAAUCAUUCCCAUCAGCCAGAAUCCUUGCACAGAAGACCCAGCUUUAUCAUGCAUCAAUCUCUCAUCAUCAUUAAUUGCUAUUGAAAUUAUAGGCAUUUGCUGUGGAACAAGGCAGGAAAUAGACUGUCAUGAAUCAGUGCCUCAACCAGUCCAAACAUGAUAGCAAGGCUUGCUUCCGUCAUGGUGAUUCCCCAGGAAAAGCACUUAUGUAACUGGAGAGCUAUGCAUAAUUAUAAAGCAAGUCCUGCCCACUUGUUAGAUGCGUUUGUCCCAUGCGUUUUUCAUAAUGCAUUUUUCAUAUCUCAUAAAAGCAGCUAUAUGGAAUGAUGUCGGUGCCAGUCAAAGCAAUAAUUUCCAGUGGGGCCAUUCAACUCGCAUGACUCUGGGUUUGGGAAGCAUCGGUUCUGGGACUGAUGUUCAAGCACAGCAAUGCUGAGAAUGGGUCAGGGAGAGAACAAAGGGCUCUUUCCAGAAGAAUCACUCUUCUCCAUCUACCAUCUCCAUCUACCUCAUCCCCAGGUAGAAGUUGCAUUGAAGAGCAGCGCAUUGCUUGAGCCACCUCUCCUGCUGCUGUCUAGGAAAUUCGAGCAGCCAACAAACAGCUCAGGAAUAGGUGCAGCCCAUGUGCAUGGCUGGACUGUGCUUUGCCCUUGCUGCAGUCUGCUCCUAUUCACUCCCCUGAAAAACAGCACCAGCUGCUGAGAGCUGCUUGAGUCCUUUAGUAAUAUGAGAUGCAACUCUCCAGGAGGGAUCUGGUGUCUGCUUCACAUCAGUGCUAUUGGUUGUUUUCCUGAUUUAUAAUGUCAGGGCAAACUCAUUCCUGCUUAAAUCUGGAAACCCAUCAGAAGUGGAUAGCGCCCCUCCUGUAAGCAGAAAGGUGGGCUGGUGGGCCAGCACCAGGGAGUGGAGGUGCAAGUGCAGGGUCUGUGCAGGAAGGGAGCCCGCUGGUACCGUUAACGAGACACCAAUACAUGAAUAUGUGAAGGAUGGCACUGCACCACUUCUCCGACAAAUCCUUCUGUGACAAUAGACAAGCACAAUAUUCCCAGAGCGGCUUCCUGGCUGCAAUCAAUCAUUUCUGCAAGUGGCAGUGCCAGGAAUGAGGCAUUAGCAACUUCCAGCCAUGUCAGCCCUGCCCUGCACAGACAGCACAGUUACUGGGAAGUGACCUGGAUUCUUUGUUUUGCACCAGCUGAAGUGUUUGCCAAGAUCUAAUCACCUGCACCUGUGAAAUGCCACCAAUUGCACCAUCAUCCCACCAGUGUCACCAGGAGCUGCUCUGAGCCAGACAACUGCUGAAGGGGCAGUGUUGCUGCACAGGGUGGCAAAGGGCCAGGCUGCCUCUUUCCUUGGAAAUGCAGCCCCUACAGCAGGGCUGCAGGGAGGAGAGACCCCCGAGGCUCUGCAGUUUGCAGGGGAUGGGUAGAGCAGAGAGGCUACCAAAUAAACCCACAGGGAGGGAGAUGGGAGCCACCAAAAAAAAAAAAACCAGCAUGAAAAAGUACAGCUCUGAUCCAGGAGAAGUGAUAGUGAAAUCAGAGAGAUGAGUUGUGUGAGUGUCAUCAUCAGCAAUAAAAGAAAAUAAAAUAUAGCAGUUUCGUAAGAGCUGACCGAUGUCCUAGGUGGCAAAGCGUGAGUCAAAGGAAGUGCCAAGCUGUGAGUCAUCCAGCUCAAAGGCCUUUAUCCUUGGAUAAAAGUCAAAGGAAUGGCCCAGAGAGAAAAAGGCGUGUGGGGAGGAACAGAGGUGAUGGCAAGGCACCGAGUCGUCUCACAGCACAGGGGCCACGCAAAGGGCAAGACUUGUACCAGCCCCUGGUGCUGCCUUCGAGCUAUUUCUGGCCAGGCACAUCAUACGCUGCAUGUUUUACAAAUGCAAGGGUCAGGCUCCUGCCCUGGGGAACGUAAUCACAAGCACAAACAAGAACUGCAGCAAGAGUAGAGAGAGGGGAGUGGUAGAGAUAGCAAGUCACAUCCCUAAAAGGGGGCUGAAAUAAAUAGAAUAGACAAAGUAUUACACGUGUGUUUUGAGUUCUUCUGUAGCCUCUUUACCAUGACCUUGUUACUGAUACAGUGCUUUGCAGGCACUUGGGCUUGAAAUUAUCAGCACAAUUUGGAGUUGCACGUACAAAAAUGUUCUAGAAUAUAUUCCAAAUGGCAACAUGGGCAUCAGCAGCCAGGCUCUCCUCAGAGGUUCCUUGGCUCUGUGUAGACAAUUCCAGCAUGCUGCAGUGAGCUCAGAUUAAGAGCAAGACAGCACUUUGCCAGCUGACAUGGCUAAAUGUAAUGAGGAAAGAUCAUAGAAUCACAGAAUCACACAGUUGGAAAGAGCCUACAAGAUCAUCUAGUCCAACUGUCUUCCUAUCACCAUUACUAUCACUAAGCUACUAAAGACGCUACUAAGAUGAGAAGUGAGAAAUUAAUAAAGAAAAGUGCAGGUUGGAUAAAGGCAACUACGUUAACCAUGAGUGCAUUUUUGGAGGGUAAAAACACAAGGAAGAGUGAGGAGUUAUUUAAGGUGGUACAGAAGAAGUGAUGAAGAUACUAACAGAUUGUUAGAGAGGUAGAACAGAACACGAACAGGACGAGAGGCUGCACAGCACCCCACAGACCUAAACACCGUCUGGCUUAGGAAGUUGUCCUACAUUACAUGGAAGUACCAGGAGUGGCAAGAAAAGGAAAGAAAAUGAGCGUGCAAGAUCUUCUGCUGCUUCAGAGAUGGCAUUGGAAAACUCAUCAUUGAAGACAUGGCAGGUGCAAGAGGCGGGACAGAAAGCAGAAGAGGAAGGUGGUCUUUAUAACUACAUCAGCAGUGCCUUCUGCUUUGGUGGAGAGCUGGUACGAGGGAUAAGGAAAAUUACUAAGGCCUCAGUAGAAAUCAAACCACAGACUUAAAACGAGAGGACUCAAGCAAACAGAGAAGAGUGUUAGAAGCACAUUUCUGGGUGCCCAACUGGUUUCACUAGUGCAAAUGUAAAUGGGCUCCGUCAAUUUACCGGGUAUUAAGUGAGUUUUACAAUGAAGCAGAUGUCAGUAGAAUCCGACUUACUCACAUCGUGGGCAAUGCAGCAAUAGCUGAAGUGAUCAGAAGCACUGUAAAGUAGGAAGAGGGUUAAACAGGUGGAGAAAUCCCAAAGGUUCUCUAUGGUUCUAUAAAAAAAUCUGAAUAGAAAGGCUUCCUGCAACCACCUCUGAACAACGUGGCACAGAAGAUGCACCUGAUGCUUCCAUCAAGAAUUGCCCAACCUGACAAUUUCUUGUCCAAACCCUACUUAUCCAGCACGAUAAAUAGGGUUUGGACAAGAGGACAACACAGAAACACAGGGAAAUCACACCCUGGAAAAACAGAGUUUUAAACAGUUUAUUUCUUUUUAUGCAGUUUAAUUUUCGGACUUCUUGGUUCUGAUUUUAAGUAACGAUUGCAUGCUGUCAUUAUCCUCCUUUUUCCCUGCACUUAAUUCCUUGAAUUUCCCAUAUCAGACGGGACAGCACAGUGAAAAACCUAGAUCUUAUAUAGGUCGUAUUUUUUACAUCCCAGCAGAACAAACAGCUUUGAGGAGGAAAGGGUCCGAAAUAGUUAAAAUAAGCAAAAACUUGGGAUGCUGACACCACAGAACAGCCACAAAAUGAACACCUCAAAAGGCCAAACAGGUGAAGUACCUGCAGCAGUUAUUGAAACAAAACUUUACAGCAUUUUGGGGCAUGGGAAGUAUUUUCUCUCUCUAACUAAAAUAUAUGUGUUUGUAUGUAUGUUCACAAAACAAACAAGUACACCUUCUUCUACUACACAUUACACAUACUACGCUACAAAGAACUACACAUUCUUCUUUUGAAGAAUGACAAAUACGGCCAAUAUUAAUGCCUUACUCUAAAGUCCACCUGUGUAUUAUUUGCCUCACGAUAUCUCUAAAACAGGAAAAAAAUACUGUUAAACUAGAAAGCAUCAAUAACGUGGACUUGUAAACAAAAAGAAAAGUUAUGUCUGCAGGGCUUGGAAGUAGUAUGUAAAUAGAGGACUAAUGCCAAAAUGCAGAUACACAAUUCAUGCUUGUACUGAGAAAGCUUGGGAAAAGUACCCAGCAUCCCUAUAUUUAUUCACGUUAAUGUAUUACAGCACUGUGUUUAGGACACAUAAUAAGCUGCCAAAUGAAAGAACUCGCAUAUAACACUAGUUAUAGAAAGUGUUUUGAAAGAUUGAAGAGCUGCAUUAGGAACUUUUUUCAACAUUAAUCAAAAGAAGUAUUUCAGCCCAUUUGUGCUGAGAGGAAGAAACUUGCAUGAAAAAUGAUCUUCGAUUCCCUUCCCUUCCGUUAAUCCACAAAAUACCAUGGAAAAAAUUACAAACAAUGGAGCAGGUUGGACACACUGCAGUACUGCACAAGAAACGGAAGAAGGUACAGCAUGAAAGUGGUACUACGAAGGCCUUAAGAAGACCAGAAUUUACAGCAUAACUGUACAGUCGUUUCUUUUGCUCCUGUCCAUGUAUUAAUGGUCUGAUUACAAGUAUUUAAACCUGUUUUUGUUGCUUUGAUUGCGAUGAUUAUUUGUGCUCAUUCCAGUAACUUAUAAUAGAAUCGAGCUAUGAAAAAAAAAAAACCAGAUAAAACCCUACUACAUUAAAAAUGCAACGGGUAAUUUAUGGAUCAUUAAAAACAUAAGCAACUCUUUUAACUAUCCAAUAAAUCAACAAUUGCAGAAGUAUUUUAAAUUUUAUUAAAAAACCCAGGAACCCUAUAAAUCUCAUUUUACGCUCCGACAGGAUACACAAAUUGCUUUAGUUUUUCCUUUCAGCUGCCCGACAAGAAACCCAAUCAGCUUUCCAGCAGCUGAUGGGACAGCAGCCUGGCUGCAGGCAGACAUGCGGUUCCAGUGGGUGACUUCCACAAGUUCUCCAUCAGCCGGUCCAACAGUUUGCUUCUGCGAGGUUCAACGAGCCCAGGGGCUCUGCUUGGUGCUGCAUCCCAAGACCCAGCACGGACAGUAGGAAAGAUUCCUUCCCAGAAGAGCGGUGAGGCAGCGGCACGGGCUGCCCAGGGAGGUGGGGGAGUCACCGUCCCUGGAGGUGUUCAAGGACUGAGAUGUGGCACUGAGGACGUGGUUAGUGGGCACGGUGGGGGUGGCAGUCGGACCGGGUGAUCGUGGUGGUCUUUUCCAACCUCACUGAGUCUUUAAUCACUCCUCCUGCCAAGACUGAGGUCCUGUCAGCAAACACAACGCUUCCCAGCUCUUCUGUUAACUUCCACACAGCUGUCCAUGCCAACCCUUAGGGUCUGAGGGCACUGCCAGGCAGCACGCAGGGAAUGACCCCAUUCCCUCAAGCCCUUCCUUUGCCGGGGCGCUGAUAACUGGGACGCCGGGUUCCCCGUGUCCCUAUGCUCGUCCACUGCCCUCCUUUUACCCAAACAAGGCCUCUUCCCCUAAAAGGAGGCCGUAAUGGCAAACAUCAGCGUUGCAGCUACAAACCCGCAGUGCCGCGCUGGGCCCACUGCCCCACAGCCUCCCCUGUGAGGACCGUCCCCGGGCUGCAGCCGGGCCACCAGGCGGAGGCGGCAGAGCGCGGCGCUAC
ensembl:lncRNA